rnacentral:lncRNA from 1 species
AAAGUCUGGAUGGAGAUCGCUUAUUGUAGAGGCUCGACUGAAGUCCGCCUGUAAUAGAAGUUUAAAAGGAAUUUGCUUACAGUAGAGGUCCGGGGUAGACCGCUUGCAGUAGAAGUCCCACUGUCGGAGAAGCUCGAUCCUCGAUGAAGUCUGGCUGUUGGAGCCCGUCCGUUGUAGAAGUUCAUCUAGAAUCCAUCCACUAUGGAAGUUCGGGCGGAGUUUGAUUCUUGUAAAUGUCCGGAU